UACAGAGGGUGCAAGCGUUGUUCGGAAUCACUGGGCGUAAAGGGCGUGUAGGCGGUGAGGUGUGUCCUGUGUGAAAUCCCUCGGCUUAACUGGGGAAGGGCAUGGGAAACUACCUUGCUUGAGUGCGAGAGGGGGUGGCGGAAUUCCCGGUGUAGAGGUGAAAUUCGUAGAUACCGGGAGGAACACCAGCGGCGAAGGCGGCCACCUGGAUCGCAACUGACGCUGAUACGCGAGAGCGUGGGGAGCAAAC
rnacentral:rRNA from 1 species